rnacentral:rRNA from 1 species
AGGUUCGAUUCUGGCUCAGGAUGAACGCUGGCGGCGUGCCUAACACAUGCAAGUCGAACGAAGCUCGAUCCUCGGGGAUUUCGGUCAAAGAGGAAAGAUGACUUAGUGGCGGACGGGUGAGUAAUGCGUGAGCAACCUGCCUCGGAGUGGGGGACAACAGUUGGAAACGACUGCUAAUACCGCAUAAUGUAUUCGGGGGGCAUCCUCUGAAUACCAAAGAUUUAUCGCUCUGAGAUGGGCUCGCGUCUGAUUAGCUAGUUGGUGAGGUAACGGCUCACCAAGGCUGCGAUCAGUAGCCGGACUGAGAGGUUGAACGGCCACAUUGGGACUGAGAUACGGCCCAGACUCCUACGGGAGGCAGCAGUGGGGAAUAUUGGGCAAUGGGCGCAAAGCCUGACCCAGCAACGCCGCGUGAAGGAAGAAGGCUUUCGGGUUGUAAACUUCUUUUAUGAGGGACGAAGAACGUGACGGUACCUCAUGAAUAAGCCACGGCUAACUACGUGCCAGCCGCCGC